rnacentral:rRNA from 1 species
GACGAACGCUGGCGGCGCGCCUAACACAUGCAAGCCGAACGGGAUCCAUGAGAGCUUGCUCUCGGAAGAUCUAGUGGCGAACGGGUGAGUAACACGUGAGAAACCUGCCCUGGAGUGGGGAAUAACUCGGGGAAACCCGAGCUAAUACCGCAUACCCUUGGAUGAUCGCAUGGUCGACCAAGGAAAGAUUUAUCGCUCUAGGAGGGUCUCGCGGCCUAUCAGCUAGUUGGUGGGGUAAUGGCCUACCAAGGCAACGACGGGUAGCUGGUUUGAGAGAACGAUCAGCCACACUGGGACUGAGACACGGCCCAGACUCCUACGGGAGGCAGCAGUGGGGAAUCUUGCGCAAUGGGCGAAAGCCUGACGCAGCAACGCCGCGUGCGGGAUGACGGCCUUCGUGGUUGUAAACCGCGUUUCAGCAGGGACGAAAAUAGACGGUACCGUGCAGAAGAAGCCCCGGCUAACUACGUAGCCAGCAGCCGCGGUAA